UUUAUAGGCUGCUUGGAAGAUAAAAUAAGCCCCAAGAGAAACAGCUGCAAUCCAGUGCCCCUGCAGAAACGGGCGUUUCUGGGCGCCCGGAACCAUGUUCUGGGCGACCAGAACAUCCCGACUGCACAAACCGGGCUCCUCGGACUCUCCGCUCGCGGUGCGCUGCGCCCGUAAACGGCUCCGGCGGAACUCACCUACCACCCUGCCACGCGUCGAAGCAAGCGAUAUUCACGAUGUCAAAUUUUCGGACCCAGAUCUGGGCGCCCGGAACAUGGGAUCCGAAUUGGCUUCCAGUUUCAGUUAAAUUCAACACUCGUUUCUGGGCGACCCUAACAAUGUUCUGGGCGCCCGAAUCUGGCAAAACUCCAGUUUUG
rnacentral:lncRNA from 1 species